rnacentral:rRNA from 1 species
AUUGAACGCUGGCGGCAGGCCUAACACAUGCAAGUCGAACGAGUGGCGGACGGGUGAGUAAUGUCUGGGCAACUGCCUGAUGGAGGGGUAUAAAUACUGGAACCGGUAGCUAAUACCGCAUACCAUCGGAUGUGCCCAGAUGGGCGUAGCUAGGAGGUGGGGUAACGGCUCACCAAGGCGACGAUCCCUAGCUGGUCUGAGAGGAGGACCAGCCACACUGGAACUGAGACACGGUCCAGACGCCUACGGUAGGCAGCAGUGGGGAAUAUUGGACAAUGGGCGCAAGCCUGAUGAAGCCAUGCCGCGUGGAUGAAGAAGGCCUUCGGGUUGUAAAGUACUUUCAGCGGGGAGGCGUUACCCGCAGAAGAAGCACCGGCUAACUCCGUGCCAGCAGCCGCGGUAAUAC